UAGUCCACGCCGUAAACGAUGUUCACUCGCUGUAUGCGAUACACAGUAUGCGGCCAAGCGAAAGUAUUAAGUAGACCGCCUGGGGAGUACGGCCGCAAGGUUAAAACUCAAAUGAAUUGACGGGGGCCCGCACAAGCGGUGGAGCAUGUGGUUUAAUUCGAUGCAACGCGAAGAACCUUACCUACUCUUGACAUCCACAGAACUUGGCAGAGAUGCCUUGGUGCCUUCGGGAACUGUGAGACAGGUGCUGCAUGGCUGUCGUCAGCUCGUGUUGUGAAAUGUUGGGUUAAGUCCCGCAACGAGCGCAACCCUUAUCCUUAUUUGCCAGCACGUAAUGGUGGGAACUUUAGGGAGACUGCCGGUGAUAAACCGGAGGAAGGUGGGGACGACGUCAAGUCAUCAUGGCCCUUACGAGUAGGGCUACACACGUGCUACAAUGGCGAGUACAGAGGGUUGCGAAGCCGCGAGGUGGAGCUAAUCUCAUAAAGCUCGUCGUAGUCCGGAUUGG
rnacentral:rRNA from 1 species